GACGAACGCUGGCGGCGUGCUUAACACAUGCAAGUCGAACGGAAUGGCCCUGCUUUUGUGGGGUGCUCGAGUGGCGAACGGGUGAGUAACACGUGAGUAACCUGCCCUUGACCUUGGGAUAACUUCAGGAAACUGGGGCUAAUACCGGAUAGGAGCUCCUGCUGCAUGGUGGGGGUUGGAAAGUUUCGGCGGUUGGGGAUGGACUCGCGGCUUAUCAGCUUGUUGGUGGGGUAGUGGCUUACCAAGGCUUUGACGGGUAGCCGGCCUGAGAGGGUGACCGGCCACAUUGGGACUGAGAUACGGCCCAGACUCCUACGGGAGGCAGCAGUGGGGAAUAUUGCACAAUGGGCGGAAGCCUGAUGCAGCAACGCCGCGUGCGGGAUGACGGCCUUCGGGUUGUAAACCGCUUUCGCCUGUGACGAAGCGUGAGUGACGGUAAUGGGUAAAGAAGCACCGGCUAACUACGUG
rnacentral:rRNA from 1 species